CUUUCAGUACUUACACUUUACCAUCCAUCUCCUUUCACUGAUCACCUAUUUUGAGAUCCAUAAAUGUUGCUGAAUGCUGUAUCUGUAGUUCUGACACUUGGGCUUCUAAUUUUGACAAACAUUUCAGUUGUUUCCUGUUUGAAGCUGUUAUGACAAAGGCUAAUAAAGCAGAACCUUUUGAUGAACUCUGGAUUUCUGUGAGUGCCUUUGGCAUUUCCUCAGUAGCCAGUUACUAUAACAAUUGCAGAGUCAUAGUGAGCAACCUCAGACUGGCUAAGAAAGGAUGGGAAUCACUGGGCACUGGUACCAUGCUGCUAUCACAUCAAUAAGUGUAACCAUGGGUUAAGCAGGUGGCUUGGAAGACAGAAUCCGACUGCCAAUGCAGGAGCUGUGGAUUUGAUCCCUGGGUCAAAGGAAGAUCCCCUAGACAAGGAAAUGGCAACACACACCAGUAUUCUUGCCCUAGGAAAUCUCAUGGACAGAAGUCUGACGGGCUACAGUCUAUGUGGUUACAAAGAGUCAGAUAGGAAUGAACGACUAAGCAUGCACACACACAUGCCAAUGUAACAAUAAGCCAAA
rnacentral:lncRNA from 1 species